rnacentral:rRNA from 1 species
UCUGUCCUUAGUACGAGAGGACCGGGAUGGACGUACCUCUGGUGCACCAGUUGUCAUGCCAAUGGCACGGCUGGGCAGCUACGUACGGAACGGAUAAACGCUGAAAGCAUCUAAGCGUGAAGCCGACUCCAAGAUUAGAUAUCCCAUUGCAUAAGCAAGUAAGACCCCUUGAGGACUACGAGGUUGAUAGGCUGCAUGUGUAAGUGUCGUGAGGCAUUUAGCUUGGCAGUACUAAUAGGUCGAGGGCUUGACCACAA